UCGAUCUUCGCGGCUAGACACAGCGCUAGCUCGGCUCAGAAAACGUGCGGCUUGGCUCCGAGCAAGUGGCAAGAUGCAAUCGCUCCUCUAUCCUCUCGUCGUCGCAUCUCGUCUCCGCAGACCGCCGCCACGGUUCACCGCUUCGCCCUCCGUCGUUCGCCGCUUCCGACUCCGCUGAUUGCUGCCGCCGCUUUCUGCCUCCGCCUCCGCCUCCACCGGCUGCCGCCGGAGCCAUUUGCUGCCUCCGACUCCGCUGACUGCUGUCUCUACCUCUGCCUCAAUCAUUAGUCACCGCCUGGAUGGUGAGACCAAAUGUAUGAUACACUAGGAGAACUCUUUUCUUUGUUCGAUAUGAUGCAUCAGUUCAGCAAUUGAUGUUCUGUCCUAGAAGCUGAAUCAUGGACUUCAGAAGUGGGAUCCAUGAACCAAAUGGUUGAUAGGAAAACUAACUCAUACAGGAUUCAGAAACCAUCUGCAGCAAUUGUGAAAGGAUUGUGUCAGGCAAUAGUGCUGUUCAAUUUCGAUGCAUUCCUUUUGCUGCCGUGGGUGAUACAAUUGAGAAUGGAUAUUGGAAAUUUCAGAA